AAGGCCUUUAAAACAUAAAAUAAAACUUAUUAUUUUUUUAUUACUUCUUAAUUAGUUUUUAAGAUAACAUUAAAUGUUAUUAAAUAUUUAUAUAUUAGAAUUUAAAUUUAAGAGACAAUUUAAUAUUUCAAAAUGUAGGUUAUAAUAAUCAAUUAAAAUAGAAGAAUAAUAAUACGGUAGAAAAAAAAUUAAAAACAAAAAACAUAAAAAAAAAAAUAAAAAAAACUUCUUCUUUCUUCCACAUGUCUUUUGGAAAAAGAGACAGUCAAUGUUAGCACUUUUGACACACAUAUAGGCAAGAUAUUGUUCACUUUGAGUCAAG
rnacentral:lncRNA from 1 species